GAUAGCUCAGUUAGUUAGAGCGUGGUGCUGACAACGCCCAAGUUGCAGGUUCAAUCCCCGUAAGGGACA